rnacentral:rRNA from 1 species
CAUGUCCGUUUGUAGUUGUAAAUGGUCCAAUCUGCCCACUGAUAAUUAAAUUAAAGGGCCGCAGUAUUCUAACUGUGCAAAGGUAGCAUAAUCGUUAGUUCCUUAAUUGGGAUCUUGUAUGAAUGAUUAGACAAAAAAAUUACUGUCUUUAUGAUAAAAAUUGAAUUUAACUUUUAAGUGAAAAGGCUUAAAUUAUUUAGAGUGACGAUAAGACCCUAUAAAGCUUAAUAUUUUAUAAAAAUGUAAAUAAUAUAUAAUUAUAAAGUUUUAAAUAUUAUGGAUAUUUUAUUGGGGUGAUAGAAGUAAAAUUAAAAUAACUGCUUUUAUAUAUAAACAAUUAUAAGUGAUUAAUUGUAAAGAUCCUGUAAUAUGGAGUAUAAGAUUAAGUUACUUUAGGGAUAACAGCGUAAUUUUUUUUAAGAGUUCUUAUCGAAAGAAAAGAUUGCGACCUCGAUGUUGAAUUAAAAUAUCUAUAUAAUUGUAGGAGUUAUAUAAGAAGGUCUGUUCGACCUUUAAAUUUUUACAUGAUUUGAGUUCAGACCGGUUUAAACCAGGUCGGUUUCUAUCUUUUAAUUAGGUUAUAAUUGCUUUA